GCAGCACAGGGUAGCUUGCUAUCCGGGUGGCGAGUGGCGGACGGGUGAGUAACGCGUAGGAAUCUACCUUUUCGUGGGGGAUAACCCGGGGAAACCCGGGCUAAUACCGCAUACGCCCCAUGGGGGAAAGCGGGGGACCUUCGGGCCUCGCGCGGAAAGAUGAGCCUGCGUCCUAUCAGGUUGUUGGUGGGGUAAUGGCCUACCAAGCCUACGACGGGUAGCUGGUCUGAGAGGACGGCCAGCCACACUGGGACUGAGACACGGCCCAGACUCCUACGGGAGGCAGCAGUGGGGAAUUUUGGACAAUGGGGGCAACCCUGAUCCAGCCAUUCCGCGUGAGUGAAGAAGGCCUUCGGGUUGUAAAGCUCUUUCGGCAGGAACGAAACGGUGAGCUCUAACAUAGCUUGCUAAUGACGGUACCUGAAGAAGAAGCACCGGCUAACUACGUGCCAGCAGCCGCGGUAAUACGUAGGGUGCGAGUGUUAAUCGGAAUUACUGGGCGUAAAGCGUGCGCAGGCGGUUGUGUAAGACAGGUGUGAAAUCCCCGGGCUUAACCUGGGAACUGCGCUUGUGACUGCACAGCUAGAGUAUGGCAGAGGGGGGUGGAAUUCCACGUGUAGCAGUGAAAUGCGUAGAGAUGUGGAGGAACACCGAUGGCGAAGGCAGCCCCCUGGGCCAAUACUGACGCUCAUGCACGAAAGCGUGGGGAGCACACACGAUUAUAUACCCUGGUAGUCCACGCCCUAAACGAUGUCAACUGGUUGUUGGACGGCUUGCUGUUCAGUAACGAAGCUAACGCGU
rnacentral:rRNA from 1 species